CCGAGGAUCCUGCUUUGCUUCCACGGUUCGACAUUUCGCACGAUUUCGGAUUGUCCGACGUGUCAGCGUCAGAAGACAUAGCGCUCACAUGAACGUCCGAGUUCGAGCCUUUUGAUUUGACAAGAGCCGAAGUGCAACCGCCCGUUGUGAUCGACGAACAUAAUCUUCCAGAGCGAGCUGUAUCCGACAGUGUACUAACUCAGCCCGAAACCAUAGAAUACACGGUUGUAGACGCAGGAACCACAAGAGGCAAACCAAAGCUAGUAUCCUCCGAUGGAUAUUCAUUCACGUUUAAGAAACAGACAAAGAAGCAAGCUGUGUGGCGAUGCAGCGUGCGACGGAAAGCGUUCAUGUGUACCGCGUAUUAUGCUGAUGAUUGUGACUCUUAUGAUGAAUGAUGAUGAUUUAUAUUUAUAUGAUGAUUAUUAUGAUGAUGUAAUUGCAUUAUUAAUAAAAUAAAAAACUUGUGUGCUGUAAAUUAUGUAGUAUGUAAUUAGGUUAAAUUAAUGUAUUGUGUUGUUAAGACGUAUGUAUUUCUUAUUGUUAUAACUUUAAAAUUAUCCAAAUAAAUGUAAUAUAAAUUAUUUUAUAGUUUGUUUUAUUUUCAAAGCCGUCUCAUAUUCUUGUAUCU